rnacentral:rRNA from 1 species
GUCGAACGAUGAACCUCACUUGUGGGGGGAUUAGUGGCGAACGGGCUGAGUAACACGUGAGUAACCUGCCCUUGACUCUGGGAUAAGCCUGGGAAACCGGGUCUAAUACUGGAUACGACCUUCUGGCGCAUGCCAUGUUGGUGGAAAGCUUUUGUGGUUUUGGAUGGACUCGCGGCCUAUCAGCUUGUUGGUGGGGUAAUGGCCUACCAAGGCGACGACGGGUAGCCGGCCUGAGAGGGUGACCGGCCACACUGGGACUGAGACACGGCCCAGACUCCUACGGGAGGCAGCAGUGGGGAAUAUUGCACAAUGGGCGCAAGCCUGAUGCAGCGACGCCGCGUGAGGGAUGAAGGCCUUCGGGUUGUAAACCUCUUUCAGUAGGGAAGAAGCCGGCCUUUCGGGGUUGGUGACGGUACCUGCAGAAGAAGCGCCGGCUAACUACGUGCCAGCAGCCGCGGUAAUACGUAGGGCGCAAGCGUUAUCCGGAAUUAUUGGGCGUAAAGAGCUCGUAGGCGGUUUGUCGCGUCUGCCGUGAAAGUCCGGGGCUUAACCCCGGAUCUGCGGUGGGUACGGGCAGACUAGAGUGCAGUAGGGGAGACUGGAAUUCCUGGUGUAGCGGUGAAAUGCGCAGAUAUCAGGAGGAAC